rnacentral:rRNA from 1 species
GACGAACGCUGGCGGCGUGCCUAACACAUGCAAGUCGAACGGGAAAAUUGAGAGCUUGCUCUUGAAAUUCUAGUGGCGAACGGGUGAGUAACGCGUAAACAACCUACCUUUUGGACGGGGACAACAGACGGAAACGACUGCUAAUACCCGAUGAACCGAUUGAGAGCAUUCAACAUACGGCAAAGGUGGCCUAUCUAUAGAAGCUAUCGCCGAAAGAGGGGUUUGCGUCUGAUUAGUUAGUUGGUGAGGUAACGGCUCACCAAGACGAUGAUCAGUAGCCGGUCUGAGAGGAUGAACGGCCACACUGGAACUGAGACACGGUCCAGACUCCUACGGGAGGCAGCAGUGGGGAAUCUUCCGCAAUGGACGAAAGUCUGACGGAGCAACGCCGCGUGAGUGAUGAAGGUCUUCGGAUUGUAAAACUCUGUUAUUCGGGAAGAAAAAGCUUACUGUGAAUAAUGGUAAGAAGUGACGGUACCGAAAGAGAAAGCCACGGCUAACUACGUGCCAGCAGCCGCGGUAAUACGUAGGUGGCAAGCGUUGUCCGGAAUUAUUGGGCGUAAAGAGCGCGCAGGCGGUCACUUAAGUCAGUCUUAAAAGUGCGGGGCUUAACCCCGUGAGGGGAUUGAAACUGGGUGACUUGAGUAUCGGAGAGGAAAGUGGAAUUCCUAGUGUAGCGGUGAAAUGCGUAGAGAUUAGGAAGAACACCGGUGGCGAAGGCGACUUUCUGGACGAGAACUGACGCUGAGGCGCGAAAGCGUGGGGAGCAAACACGAUUAGAUACCCUGCUAGUCCACGCCGUAGACGAUGGGUACUAGUGUACGAGUAUCGACUCCUUCUGUGCAG